UAAUUUUCUAAUGCCCUAAUUCCCAAAUUUUCACCUCACAGCUCUCAUCUCUCAUCUUCUUCGCCUAACAAGAGUCACAGUUGUUGUCUCUCAUCUUCUUCGCCUCAAAUCUCCUUCGCCUCACUUCUUUCUGUUCAAGGUCACCGCAGAUCUGCUCGAUGUCUCUCACCGUCGACGUCUCUCGCUUCUUUCUGUUCGAGGUCACUGCAGAUCUGUUCAAGGUCUCUCGCCGUCAACAUCUCUCACUUCUUUCUGUUCGAGGUCACCGCAGAUCUGUUCGAGGUCUCUCGCCGUCGACAUCUCUCACAUCUUUCUAUCCGAGGUCACUGCAAAUCUGUUCGAGGUCUCUCACGGUCGACGUCUCUCGCAGCUGCGACACCUCUGACGCUCAGAACAUUCGUUUCUCCUUCGCUUUCUUUUCCCUGGAAAAAUGAUUUUGAUGUUCACUCCUUUCUUCAAAUUGAAUGUCAUGUAUUCUCAUUUAAGACUGUCAUAUUGAUGUUUAGUUUCAUUAGAUGGAAUGAUUUACUAUUUCCUGUUCAAUAUUACUGUCUGUUACUUUCCUUCUUCUAGAAACUACAUUUUACUUCUGAAUCUGCAAAGGAAUCAAACUCGUAAGUGUAGGUUUGGGAAGUGGGAAUUCUUUUGCCUAACUUCUGGCUUCCAACAUCAGGUGGAUAAUGACAGACUCCAGAUUUCUCUUGGCAUGAAGAAUUCAUACUUUAGGGAUGAUGACGGUGAGGAUAUUCAAACAACUUCAAGACAGAGUACCAACAAAACUGAGAAGAAGCGUGCAAUGAAGAAAGCAAAGAAAGAGAGGGAACGGGAAAUCAUGGCUGCUAAAGAAAGGCUGCUUGCAAAGGAUAUCCCCAAGAAUACUGAUGACUUUGAGAAAGCUUUGUGUGGAUCAAGUACAUGGCCUUCAUGCGCUCUUUGGCUGAUGUAGAGAAGGCACAAUCUAUAGAUGAGAGAGAAAUCAACAAGAAUCACGCCAUAUUGAAGCGGUGAAGCGGAGAUGGAGCUGCUGAUUGGAUUAUAUUUUUCUUUAAAAAAAAAUUUCGGCGAAUUGUAUUUUUUUUUUUAAAAAGAAAAUUUUCCACGGCACCGGCUCCAGUAAUUAUUUUAAAAAAAACAAAAAAAAAAACAGUUUUCGCAACACCUUUUAAGGGUGUCACUGAAAAUCAAUACUUUUAGAGUCACUCACAUCCGCUACACCGUUACAGGUGUAGCGGAAACACUUAUACAGGUGUAGCUAAUGUGCAUUUUUGUACUAGUGUGCUACAAUGAAGGGUAUACACAUUUAUACAGUUCUUUUUGGCAUCUUACAAGUCAAAGAAGAAGAAAAAGAACAAGAAGGUUUCUGAAGUGAAACCAACUACAUGAGUAACCAAAACGAGCAAGGGAAAAUGUUUCCAUUGCAACAAAGAAGGGCAUUGGAAAAGAAAUUGCGCGGAGUACCUGAAGUCUUUGAAGGUCAAGGACAACAACAAAUCUUCAAAAGGAUUGAGAAGAAGUAAAGAGUUGGCUGAAGAUGAGAUUGCUCUACGAAUGAGAAAUGGAGCAAGAGUUGUUGCAUUUAGCUGUUGGAGCUUUAUAUAUUCAUUUUUUGUUUAAUCAUAUUUUAAAAAAAAGGCUAUUUAUGUGUUCCUAGUAUUUAAAGACAUUAUUUCCAUUCCAGUUGAGAAUAAUUAUGAAUUUUUCAUUUCGAAAUAAUGUUUAUUACAUUUAUUUCAAUAAUAAAUGUGAUGACACUAGAACACUGUUA